GAUGAACGCUGGCGGCGUGCCUAAUACAUGCAAGUCGAGCGAACAGACGAGGAGCUUGCUCCUCUGACGUUAGCGGCGGACGGGUGAGUAACACGUGGAUAACCUACCUAUAAGACUGGGAUAACUUCGGGAAACCGGAGCUAAUACCGGAUAAUAUAUUGAACCGCAUGGUUCAAUAGUGAAAGACGGUUUUGCUGUCACUUAUAGAUGGAUCCGCGCCGCAUUAGCUAGUUGGUCAGGUAACGGCUUACCAAGGCGACGAUGCGUAGCCGACCUGAGAGGGUGAUCGGCCACACUGGAACUGAGACACGGUCCAGACUCCUACGGGAGGCAGCAGUAGGGAAUCUUCCGCAAUGGGCGAAAGCCUGACGGAGCAACGCCGCGUGAGUGAUGAAGGUCUUCGGAUCGUAAAACUCUGUUAUUAGGGAAGAACAAAUGUGUAAGUAACUAUGCACGUCUUGACGGUACCUAAUCAGAAAGCCACGGCUAACUACGUG
rnacentral:rRNA from 1 species